rnacentral:rRNA from 1 species
UACGGAGGAUCCAAGCGUUAUCCGGAAUCAUUGGGUUUAAAGGGUCCGUAGGCGGUUUAAUAAGUCAGUUGGUGAAAGCCCAUCGCUCAACGGUGGAACGGCCAUUGAUACUGUUAAACUUGAAUUAUUAGGAAGUAACUAGAAUAUGUAGUGUAGCGGUGAAAUGCUUAGAGAUUACAUGGAAUACCAAUUGCGAAGGCAGGUUACUACUAAUGGAUUGACGCUGAUGGACGAAAGCGUGGGUAGCGAACAGG